rnacentral:lncRNA from 1 species
CGCCAAUCUGCGCACGGCAACUUGGAGGCUCAAACCACCAACGAUCGCAAUGCUGCGUCGCGAGCCAGGCCGGUCUCCGCGGUAACCGGUUUGCCGCUGAGGACUCUGGGAGUUGUAGUUGGGAGGAAGCCGGCUGCGCUCCAGGACGGCCGAGCCGCUGCUCGUUAGCGUUGGCCUCUGCAGGCCACAGGCGGGCUCCGCGGACAGGGCGAGCAGUCCGACUCGCCCUUCAGACGCACAGAUAAGGACAAGGCACGGGGUAGAGGGAGGACGUUCUGAAGAUGUGCAUGGAACGGAUGAAUGAAUGAAUAAGUCAGCCACUGGCAGCAUCUGGAUGUGUGGGCAGGAGUCACAAUGCAGAGGGCACAGGAGGCCUCAUGCCCAUCACAGGCCACCAGAGCACAUGAAGAUGCUGGGGCCAGGAUACCCCUUGGGGUAAAGGCAAGAAACUGACCCAGACUUGACCGAGGGAAGAAGGAAGAGAAAGAUGAUGCAAACUUGGGAGCCCUAUGGAAAAGGAAAAUUCGAGAGCUGCAGAGCCUGACUCUUGCCUCCUUCUGCACAGGAUCGGCACCUCUGCCGGUAGUCCCCAAGCAUCACACAUGCAGGACUGCCUGUUCUGGACACACUGUCCCCUAGGAAUCUGCAUUCCUCACAGCCAGAAUCUUCCUCCUCUCCAUUCCUGCCGCUAAAAGUCUUAAGUGCUGACAAGGCCGUUUCCUGCAUUCGCUGCCUUCGUCACAGCCCUGUCGGGUGAACAUCUGAAGUCACGAGUGCUCUGAGCCCCACACACACCAUGUCCUCAGCCCCCUCCCUGGUCUCCCUGUCAGAGAUGGGGGCGCCCCCGGAGCUUCGUCAUCUGUGACAAUCGUCCGCCCGCUCUCCAGCCGGAACCUCAGCGAUGAAUAAGGGCUGAUUUCUCCUCAAACGAUCACCACCCCCAAUUCAUCACAUUCAAAGGACUAUGCACCUCAUGCCGUACAUUGGGAUGUACACGAGGGCCUGUGACAUUUAAGCUCCUUGCAGAGGAACUGCAUUGGGUCAUUUGGAUUCUCCACAGCACCUCUGAGCACGACACACCCUGGGACGAGGCUGUCUCCACAGCUGUGGACACGGCAGACCAAGCAGAUGCUUCAGGGCAUUUGCCUUUGACGAAGAUGCAGCCUGCCUCUUUCUGGGAUGCUUGUCCCUCAUUCUCUUCAAGGUCACACAAGGAGAAAGGUGACCUUGUUCUUACUGUCACCCCUUUCUCCCCAGCCCCCACCCCCGGCAGGCCAGCCAGAGUAGCCCUGAAGCCCUAGAAG